rnacentral:rRNA from 1 species
GGGUUGUGAGGUUAAGCGACUAAGCGUACACGGUGGAUGCCCUGGCAGUCAGAGGCGAUGAAGGGCGUGCUAAUCUGCGAUAAGCGCCGGUAAGGUGAUAUGAACCGUUAUAACCGGCGAUACCCGAAUGGGGAAACCCAGUGUGAUUCGUCACACUAUCAUUAACUGAAUCCAUAGGUUAAUGAGGCGAACCGGGGGAACUGAAACAUCUAAGUACCCCGAGGAAAAGAAAUCAACCGAGAUUCCCCCAGUAGCGGCGAGCGAACGGGGAGGAGCCCAGAGCCUGAAUCAGCAUGUGUGUUAGUGGAAGCGUCUGGAAAGGCGCGCGAUACAGGGUGACAGCCCCGUACACAAAAGCGCAUGUGCUGUGAGCUCGAUGAGUAGGGCGGGACACGUGGUAUCCUGUCUGAAUAUGGGGGGACCAUCCUCCAAGGCUAAAUACUCCUGACUGACCGAUAGUGAACCAGUACCGUGAGGGAAAGGCGAAAAGAACCCCGGCGAGGGGAGUGAAAAAGAACCUGAAACCGUGUACGUACAAGCAGUGGGAGCCCCACCACUAAGCCAGUGGUGAACUCCACAUACGCAUCCUUUGCUGAGGAUACGGUUAACGGAGCGCAAGCGACGUUCAACCUCAAAAGAAGCAGAGGGGGCUUAGUGGUGGGGUGACUGCGUACCUUUUGUAUAAUGGGUCAGCGACUUAUAUUCUGUAGCAAGGUUAACCGAAUAGGGGAGCCGGAGGGAAACCGAGUCUUAAUUGGGCGUUAAGUUGCAGGGUAUAGACCCGAAACCCGGUGAUCUAGCCAUGGGCAGGUUGAAGGUUGGGUAACACUAACUGGAGGACCGAACCGACUAAUGUUGAAAAAUUAGCGGAUGACCUGUGGCUGGGGGUGAAAGGCCAAUCAAACCGGGAGAUAGCUGGUUCUCCCCGAAAGCUAUUUAGGUAGCGCCUCGUGAAUUCAUCUCCGGGGGUAGAGCACUGUUUCGGCUAGGGGGCCAUCCCGGCUUACCAACCCGAUGCAAACUGCGAAUACCGGAGAAUGUUAUCACGGGAGACACACGGCGGGUGCUAACGUCCGUCGUGAAGAGGGAAACAACCCAGACCGCCAGCUAAGGUCCCAAAGUCAUGGUUAAGUGGGAAACGAUGUGGGAAGGCCCAGACAGCCAGGAUGUUGGCUUAGAAGCAGCCAUCAUUUAAAGAAAGCGUAAUAGCUCACUGGUCGAGUCGGCCUGCGCGGAAGAUGUAACGGGGCUAAACCAUGCACCGAAGCUGCGGCAGCGACACUCAGGUGUUGUUGGGUAGGGGAGCGUUCUGUAAGCCUGCGAAGGUGGCCUGUGAGGGUUGCUGGAGGUAUCAGAAGUGCGAAUGCUGACAUAAGUAACGAUAAAGCGGGUGAAAAGCCCGCUCGCCGGAAGACCAAGGGUUCCUGUCCAACGUUAAUCGGGGCAGGGUGAGUCGACCCCUAAGGCGAGGCCGAAAGGCGUAGUCGAUGGGAAACGGGUUAAUAUUCCCGUACUUGGUGUUACUGCGAAGGGGGGACGGAGAAGGCUAUGUUGGCCGGGCGACGGUUGUCCCGGUUUAAGCGUGUAGGUGUGUGUUCCAGGUAAAUCCGGUUCACUUUAACACUGAGGCGUGACGACGAGGCACUACGGUGCUGAAGCAACAAAUGCCCUGCUUCCAGGAAAAGCCUCUAAGCAUCAGGUAACAUCAAAUCGUACCCCAAACCGACACAGGUGGUCAGGUAGAGAAUACCAAGGCGCUUGAGAGAACUCGGGUGAAGGAACUAGGCAAAAUGGUGCCGUAACUUCGGGAGAAGGCACGCUGACAUGUAGGUGAAGUGAUUUACUCAUGGAGCUGAAGUCAGUCGAAGAUACCAGCUGGCUGCAACUGUUUAUUAAAAACACAGCACUGUGCAAACACGAAAGUGGACGUAUACGGUGUGACGCCUGCCCGGUGCCGGAAGGUUAAUUGAUGGGGUCAGCGCAAGCGAAGCUCCUGAUCGAAGCCCCGGUAAACGGCGGCCGUAACUAUAACGGUCCUAAGGUAGCGAAAUUCCUUGUCGGGUAAGUUCCGACCUGCACGAAUGGCGUAAUGAUGGCCAGGCUGUCUCCACCCGAGACUCAGUGAAAUUGAACUCGCUGUGAAGAUGCAGUGUACCCGCGGCAAGACGGAAAGACCCCGUGAACCUUUACUAUAGCUUGACACUGAACAUUGAGCCUUGAUGUGUAGGAUAGGUGGGAGGCUUUGAAGUGUGGACGCCAGUCUGCAUGGAGCCGACCUUGAAAUACCACCCUUUAAUGUUUGAUGUUCUAACGUGGACCCGUGAUCCGGGUUGCGGACAGUGUCUGGUGGGUAGUUUGACUGGGGCGGUCUCCUCCUAAAGAGUAACGGAGGAGCACGAAGGUUGGCUAAUCCUGGUCGGACAUCAGGAGGUUAGUGCAAUGGCAUAAGCCAGCUUGACUGCGAGCGUGACGGCGCGAGCAGGUGCGAAAGCAGGUCAUAGUGAUCCGGUGGUUCUGAAUGGAAGGGCCAUCGCUCAACGGAUAAAAGGUACUCCGGGGAUAACAGGCUGAUACCGCCCAAGAGUUCAUAUCGACGGCGGUGUUUGGCACCUCGAUGUCGGCUCAUCACAUCCUGGGGCUGAAGUAGGUCCCAAGGGUAUGGCUGUUCGCCAUUUAAAGUGGUACGCGAGCUGGGUUUAGAACGUCGUGAGACAGUUCGGUCCCUAUCUGCCGUGGGCGCUGGAGAACUGAGGGGGGCUGCUCCUAGUACGAGAGGACCGGAGUGGACGCAUCACUGGUGUUCGGGUUGUCAUGCCAAUGGCACUGCCCGGUAGCUAAAUGCGGAAGAGAUAAGUGCUGAAAGCAUCUAAGCACGAAACUUGCCCCGAGAUGAGUUCUCCCUGAGACUUUAGGUCUCCUGAAGGAACGUUGAAGACGACGACGUUGAUAGGCCGGGUGUGUAAGCGCAGCGAUGCGUUGAGCUAACCGGUACUAAUGAACCGUGAGGCUUAACCUUACAACGCCGAAG